CCCCCGCCCCAGCCCCGGGAGAAAUUGAAUCCAGAAACCAAGUAUUCAAAGUUCAGGGGCCUUUAUGCCUCUAGUCUAAGAACCAUUGAUUGUGAAGCAGGUAGUGAGAUCUGGGUAACAAAAAUCAGUGUGUCUGUGCUGGCAACUUCGUGAGGUCACAAAGUAUAAGCCGUAGUCUUGGUUGUCAUUGGUGUGAUCCCGAUGGUGUGAGGUGCUCCUGGCGAAGUUCAGGCUUUGGUCUGAUGAUCAUCCCCUCGAUCUGACCUGAGGUGACUCCCUUAAAAACACAAUGCUCCCAAUUCCCUGUUGCCCAAAUCUGACUUCGGGAUUAUUUCUCAGUAAUGAGCUUUCGUAGAAUCUCUUCUUCCCGUAUUAGUAAUUAAGCAAGAUACGUGUUUUUGCUUGUUUUGCUCAUUAUUGAAAACCAAAUUAAGACCCGUAAAAAUAGCUCCGUCAGAUUGGUGUGUAGACUCAGCAAGAUUUAAGUAAGUAAGGGAACCCACAAGCUCCUCCACAGGCAAAUCCAAUUUUCAAGGUUAGUAAAACAGGGAGGGCCCCCUUCCGGCCGGUGCUUGGGUCUCUGAAGGUGCCCUCUGGAGAUUACUCACUAUCGCUGUUGUGCUCAUGACCCUGGCCACGAUUAUUGCUGCUUCGACCCGAGUGCAGAUGCACUCUAUCAGUGUUCACUUGUCUUUGUUACUCUUACUUCUCCGUAGGCCUCAACUAUGAAUCCAGGGGUAGAUCUGGGUGACAAACAGCAUUGCUGUUCCCGAGGGGGAUUUGCCUCAGUAGGGUCUCUUGGAAGAUUUGGAGCUUGAAUCGAGCGAAGGAGCAGCUGGUAGCAUGCCUGUUAACUUCGUUCUCAAUAAAUGCUAACUUCAUUCCAACCCGGCAGUAACAGCAUUCCCCCUUCUGUAGUUAAUAGCCCUGCAUAUUAACCCAAGCUGUUACAUUAACCUUAUUAAAUGCAUCAUACUCUGAUCAACUGAGUUUAUUGCCUAGAAACUUUCGUUUAUAAACUAAAUUAGUUCAUACUAUCCUCCCUCUCCUUUGAUCCCGUAUAACUAAAAAUAUAAUGCUUACAUAUUAUGAACUUCCUGCAGCCCUUCUUUGAAAGGCCCAUUUUUCCUAUUUAUUUUUUGCAAUCAAUAUGACCAAAAAGCGAGUUACUGAAACAGUUACAAUCCGAUCACAUUGUUGAAAUCCAGUUUUGUGCAAAUGAUCUGCACAUGUAUGUGUGCAUAUGGAUACGGGUGUACAUGUGCACGUGUGUGUGCACAUUUGUGUAUGCAUGGUGAGUGACAUUAGAUCUUAGAAAUAGGAGACGGAGGAUGUGUAGAUUGAUAACUUCUGUUAGAAAUUACUAGAUACAUAGUUUAUCAAAUGGGAAACGACAUAGUAAUAAAAUGAGUUAAGCUUGUUUUAUUUCAUUACCUUUGCUGAGAAACAGUGUAUUAUUAAAUAUCACUAAAACUAUGUUAGGCCAAAAAAAAAUGUACAUGCAAGCCUACGUAGAUGGAACUCUUUAGAAAGUUUGUUGACUAAGAAAUAAAGUUGUAUUUAUACAUUAAUUCCCCAUGGUUAAGUGUGUCAUUGUCAGAUACAAUGAUGUGAAUAACUUCCUUCUUUGGUAAAAAAUGUACUAGAAGCAAAUACACGUAUAGAGAUGUCUACAGUAUAUACAAAAAUGCUAUAUUUAUCUAGCACAACCAAAUACGUGAUUUAUAUUCUUUUUAUAAUUUCAGAUGUCAGCUUUCUGCAAGUGUUACACAUAUCUACAACUUUUUGAAAAGAGUUGGGUGCAUGCCCAACUGAUCUAUCUAAUGACUGGAUCCAUGGGCAUCAACUACAGUAGUUCAAGUUCUGUGCCUUUUGGAUCGUCUGGCCUCUCUCCCGGUCUGGCUCAUCUGAUGAAUAGUGUGUGGGAUCUGAGAGAAAGAGACGUCACUGAGGCUCUUAGUCUGAGGAACUGACAAGACAGACGUACCAUUACCUAGUCGGGGUGAGUAAGGCGGUUUUGUUUCUUUUUUUUUUUUUUUUUUUUAGGUUUUUGACUUAGUUUAUUAGUUAUUAAUAGUCAUUUUUAGAGCAAGUUUAGGUUCACAGCAGAAUUGGUCAUUUCAUCUUGAGGAAGGGGUAAGUUGAGUUCUGUUUAGAGACUUAAGUGUCAGUCUAGUAGACAAGCAAGUGUGCACAUCAAGCAGGACCUGGAUCCGCCUGGCAGGGGUUUAGGGCAGGGGUGUGGCUGGAAAGACGAAUUUCGGAGUUGUGAGUCUGUAGAUGGUAUUUUUAGCGGGGAGACUAGAAGAACUCACCGAGGUCGCGGCCAGUUACCAACACCCCGUUCCAUCUCUGCCAUCAGAUCUGGGUCCUUGGAUGGUCUUCCUUUGCCGGCUGACUCGGUGUGGAGCUUUGUCCCUAGAGGUACUGAUGAGACAGCACGGGAGGAGUGGUUUCCUGUCCCGGGUCUGGAGUUCACCACCGGGUUUGGGGAGGGCACUUUUUGUGUUUUUCAUCCACCAUUUCAUGCUGCUUGCGUGGUUUUUCCGGUGCUUGGUGCCCCGGGGCCUACUUCUUUCUCCCCAGCAUUUGCCCCACCCCAACUCCAGUGCUUUCUUAAGCCCUUGACCUAGGUGUGGCAGCUUGGCUGAGACCCCCAGACACUGGGCCGAUACUGCAGCAUGGAUCACUGCUACCUCACACCCUCCUCAGCCUACCCGGCCCCAUGCACACGUGCUGGGAGACAUGACAGCCUUCCUGUGCCAUAGUCCAGCCGUCGGGGUUGCGCCUGGCACAGAAGUGUACCGGGUCCCAGCAGAGCCAGGCCUCUCCAGCUCCCGGCCCCCGCAGUGCCUGGUGGCCCGACCCCCUCUGCACCUGUAACCCCCUUUGUCCUACUGAUUCCCUGUUAUCCCAUCAUCAACCACAGCUCUCCUGCACCUGGGGGUCUUGUUUCCCUUGACCUUCCCAACAUAGACACCCAGCCCCCAAAGCACACCUACCCGUCAGCCUCAGCUCACCUGCAUCCCAGAGGGCUGUUCCUGCUUGUCCGGUGACAGUGGGCCAGCAAAUUUCUCCUCCUUCCAGUGGGCCUCAGCCUCGCCUUCCUCGGUGAGGGCCGAACCCCUGCCAAGCCUGUCCUUCUUCAAGCACUCUCCCUUGGGCUAAGGUGCCCAUUAGAGUUCCCUUGAAAUCUCCAUAGUCUUCCAAGAUGGCUUUCUAAUUCCUUAUUUUAAACUUCUUUCACUUAUAUUACUGUGUGGUAUCCAUCACCUGAGUGGACCCAGACUGAUAGAGAAGAGCUGAUAGUAACGAGAGAGAAGAAAAGGUCAAGAGGUUUGAGCUCUGGGGGCACCUCGCCAUUCAGAGGCUGGGAAAGGGACUCAGAUCUGAGUCGGGGUAAGCAAGUGGCCUGCUUCCAAGGGAGGACCAUCAAAAGAAUGUGGCAUUGUAUCACUGGAGCCACACAAAGAACGUAUGUACAAAGAAGGAAAUUACUGACUAUGUAAAAAAACUGUAAGUCAUAUACGACGAGCAAUGAGCGUGACAAUCAGGAUGUAGCGACAUGAACAUCACCAGCUGCCUUCGCAAAAGCAGAAACAUUGGACGGAAUCUAGAGAGUCUAUCAACCUGCUACCCAAGGCGAGACUGCUUUUGAGGUGCCCUUGACAGAUCUUCUACCUGAUAAACAUCCUAAUUUGCUUACAGUAUCACUAUUUACUUACGUUAUUCUACUUAUGAACUUUAGGGCUUUCUGUCGUUUUCAAAUAAUCGGAGGCAUCAGUUAUUAUGGAGAAAGCAUAGGAUGUACUCCAAUGCUUCCUUAUGUGUAUUAUUUUAACUAAUAUUUAUUGAGUGUCUACUGCAUUUCAGGUAUUGGUCUAGGAACUGGGAUAGGAUAGUGAAAUAGCAAAGCGAAGAGCCUGCCAUCAUGAAGUUUCCAUUUUGAUGGGAGACACGGGUAGUAAGCUAGCGAACGAGUACAUAAACUAGGGUGUUUUCAGAGCGAUACGUGCAAUGAAGGAAAUAGAGCAGAGUGCCAGAGGAGUAGGAAUUGUAUCAGUGGUUAGACAAAUCCUCUCCAAGGAAAUAGCAUUUGAGCUAAGAUCUAAAUACGAAGAGAGUGGUGAACAAAAAUCUACACCAAAA